rnacentral:lncRNA from 1 species
UAUGGCUGACGUUACAUUGGGCUCUAAGCUGUAGAGCCAGGAUGUGAAUCAAGUCUAGUUCAUGCUCGAGCCUAUGCUUUAAACCACCUCAGUGUAUACUACCCUCUGGAAGAGUCACCCACCAACUGCCAUUUAUUGAACUACAUGGCAAUUGUUCCUGGUGAAGAAGUUUCACCAUUUGAAUGUCCAGACCAUGGCUGCUUUUGCUUUUGCUUUUUUUAAAUUGAAGGAUAGCUGGUUUACAGUGUUGUGGUUGUUUUAGAUGUAUUGCAAAGUGAUUCAGUUAUGCACACACACACACAUACACACACCCAUUUCGGAUUCUUUUUUUUCUCAGUUUCUUUUCCUAUAUUAUAGGUGAUUACAAGACAUUGAGUACAGGUCCCUGUGCUAUACAGGAAGUCCUCGUUGUUUACCUAUUUUACAUAUAUAAUCGUGUGUAUCUGUUAAUACCAAGCUCCUGAUUUAUUCCUCUUCCUCCUUUCCCCUUUGGUAACCGCACGUUUGUUUUUAUGUAUAUGAGUCUGUUUCUGUUUCGUAAAUGUUUUUGUGUGUUGCCACCACCUGCAACCCAGUUCCUUGUGCAAUACAUGUGUUAUUAGUUCAUUAGAAGGAGUAAGAAGAAGAGAUUUUCCUCUAAGUCACAGUUGGGUAACUCUUCUUUAGAGCGGCUGAGCAUUUCUGGGGUUUAGGAGCAGUGUAGAGGCCGAAGAUGCACUUUACUCUGUGGGAUCUCACAUCAGGAGUCAGUGAGUUAGAAGCGACUCCUUAUUUGGGGAAAAUGUUUAUAAACCAGAAAGAGCAAUGGGAGUGAAAGCUGAAACAGACCUAGAGAUGGAAUGCUUCUCUGAAAGACUCGCUAUUUGCAUGGGAGGCGGGUUUUGGAAGGGAAUGUUGUCUCCAGGGCUCUGGGAGACAGAAUCACUGUAGGGGAGCCCAUGGUAGCCCAGGGGAAGGCAAGCAAAAGAAAGGAGCAGAGUUCGGUGAAACUCAUGAUAAAAGUCUUCCUGGAAGAGGCAACUGAAGGUGGAAAUGGAAAGAAACAAUAUAUAAAAAUAAAAGAAAGGGGUGUUCCCCUUGUGGCACAGUGGAAACGAAUCUGACUAGUAACCAUGAGGAUGAAGGUUCAAUCCCUGGCCUCUCUCAAUGGGUGAAGGAUCUGGUGUUGCUGUGAGCUGUGGUGUAGGUCACAGACACGGCUUGGAUCCAGCGUUGCUGUGGCUGUGGGGUAGGGAGACAGCUGUAGCUCUGAUUCGACCCCUAGCCUGGGAACUUCCAUAUGCCAAGGAUGCGGCUCCCCCCCACCAAAAAAAAUGAAAGAAAGAAGUGGGAAAUAAAGUCAAGGAGAAUGGAGUUCCCGCUCUGUUGCAGCAGGUUAAGUGUCUGGCAUUGUCACUACGGUGGCUUGGUUGCUACUGUGUUGCAGUUUCCAUCCCUGGCCCUGGGAACUUCCACAUGCUAUAGGCAUGGCCAAAAAAUAAAACACAAGAGGAAUGGCCCAUGCAAAGCCUUAGAGCUAUGUGUUUGAAAUUAGUUUGGCACAUUCGACUAUAUUGUAGAAUAAGAAGAGAUUAAACUGCAAUCACUUAUCGAGCACCUACUGUAUAUCAGGCAUCGUGCUAGGUAUUGAGAAUGCAAAGGAGGACCCAGUAGGGUCCCCAGUAGCCUCUGGGGACCUCUCCAUCCAGCAGGAGGGCGGGGGCGCACACAAAUCCUCAUGGUCCAAGGAUGCUGCAGUCGAGGACCAUAGCGGCGUCAUGGCGGCGCUGAUGGUAAAAUGACCUGGUAUCGAGAAGCUGGGCAGGCUUCUCGGAUGAAGCCCUUUGAGCUGGACCCUGGAGGGUGGAGGAGGCUUUUGCUGAGAGGAGCAGCAAGGGAGGGAAGGAGAAGCACUUGCAUGAAAGCGCCUGGUCUGGAAGGUGGGACCAUGGCUGGUGGGGUGCAAGGGUGGUAGCAGCAGAGGGGGCAGAAAAGGGGGUGGGGAGCAGCUUAGUCAAGGCUUUGGUGGCCAGCCUGAGAGUUUUGCCCUCCGUCCUGUGAGCCGUAAAUCUAUAGCAACAAGUUAGCCACGAGAGUUUCAGUUGCCCUCUGAAUGCCGGUCUAUCUAAGGGGGUAGGAAAUGUUUCUUACACCCACUCAAAGGUGCUGCUUUAACUGAGAUUUGCCUCACCUCGAGGCCUCUUCCCCACCAUCUCCUUUUUUCCUUUUAGGAGCAGUACACCUACUUGGGGUCCGCUCCCUAGGUACAAUCUGAAGGCAACCCAGAAGUUCUGGAAAUCCUGCCGCUGGAAACCAUAGCUGCUCAUCCCCCAACACCACAGAUAUCCGCCAGCUUCCCACUGCCCAUCCUUCCUACGCUGGUCCCUCAGAAGGGCUGUCCCAGAACAAACCGAGACUCAUACUUAGCCCUGACAGCAAUGUGGAGGCCAUGGCUGGCUAUGGCCAGCCGCUUUCAGCAUGAAUGACGGGGCCUCAAGAGAGAGGAAUAUCAGGGAACCGAAGGUUAGCUCCCAGGCCCCAAAGCGCCAAAAGAAUUCUCUGCUGCUGAAGAUAACCAUCCGAAAGUGAGCUGUACCCUCUCUGAGGUCCCCCAAAGCUGGCAAAGAGCCCCUAGGAAACUCCAAUUUAGUUUUAGCCCUCUGAUGCUUGACCCUGGCUUACAACCCUUGACCUAAUCUGGUUUUCAGAAUGCCCUUUCCAGAAUGGCCUUAGUCUCCCAAUGAUUUCUUGGUUCAGUCCCAGAGGUCCCAAAGCCAAUUACUAAGAACUUGGUCAGGGAGGUAGGACAGACCCCAGUUACCUCCAAGUCUCAAGAACCCCUUCCCUUGCAUGGACUUUUUAUUUUUGUUGUUGCUUUUUAGGGCCACACCCAGGGCAUAUGGAAGUUCCCAGGCUAGGGAUCGAAUCAGAGCUAUAAUUACCAACCUAGGCCACAGCCACAGCAAGCCCAGAUCCGAGACGUGGCUGUGACCUACACCCCAGCUCAUGGCAACACUGGAUCCUUAACCCACGGAGCAAGGCCAAGGAUCGAACCCACAUCCUCAUGGAUACUAGUUGAGUUCGUAACCUGCUGAGCCACAAUGGGAACUCUGCAUUGGCUCUUAUAUGCAGUCAGCCAGUCCCCUAGAUCCACGGGACUAAUUCAGCUUUUGCUUCUGAAUCUACAGAGAGGGUGGUUAUGGGUAGGUGCAGCCUCGGCUAAUGCCCAGGUCAGAGCAAAUCUGACCCGUUGCAUCCCAUAAGUCAGAGGGGCUUCUUCUCCCAUCCCUGUUAAAGCCAGUCUCUGUACCUGCUUGUUUCCAGAGCCCAGGAAGUGAGCUGCUGUGGACAUUCUUGCUCCCCAAGCAUGAGUGUUCUCAGAACUCCUGAAACAUUCUCCUACAGGCUCUCAGAUCUCCUGGUUCCCAGAAGCAGUUUUCCAAGGAGCCCUUGAGGGCUGGCUAGCAGGGCAGGGGCCUUGCAGCCAGGACACCCAGCACUCGUUUUGUGGCCCUGACCAACAGAGAAGGUGCCAUGGUCAUGGCCAGAGAUGGGAGAGGAUUCCCCACGCCCAAUGGAGUUAUUCCUUCCCUGCCCAGGAGAAAGGCACCAGCAACCAUUCUUACCCUGAGAAGGGAUGUGCUACCUGCCCACAGACUGAUGCUGUAGAGCAAAUGUCUUCUCGCCCACCCUGCUUUGUGUGCCCCCUGGGCGAUGGGGGGCCCUGGCCACUAGGGUGCUGUCAGAGCUAAUUAUGAGUCUCAGCGUGUUCCAAGAACAAAUAGUUAACCAAGGUGGAGAACCCAAGACUAUUCGUUCUUGGCUAUCUCACAGCCAGAUGCUGCUACACUUGAAUGGCCCGAGGUCUCAAGAAUGUCAUUAUUCCAGGGAGCAGGUCCAGCGAUGGGGGCCUUUGGGACUCCCAGGGAGAGUUGAGAGGCUACUCUGGGGCCUUGCAUCCUGUCCCCAUAAUCAGCCCAAGAGGCAGGAUUUAAGAGACUGAGCCAUUCCUAUCUAACGGGCUUCAGAGCCUACAGGAGGGCUGAGAUCCAGCUGAGGGCAACUACCCUACUGUGGGGAACCUGGAAGCUAGAAUAUAUAAAACGCUCCCCCAGUUGUAGCUGGUGGUAGCCUCAGUGGUGAAGGCCUUUGCCAAAGGGGACAAGUGGUACCAUCUUGUCUAUACAAAUAAUCUAGUGCUUAUGGUCUCAGUCUGUGGAGUCAGACAGACUUGGGUUUGAGGCCAAGUUCCGCCACUUUCUAGCUCUGUGACCUGGGGGCAAGCUAACUCAACCUCUCUGAACCUUAGUUUUCUCAUGUAUAAAAUGGAAACUAUAGGUAUGCUUAGUUUACAAGGUUAUUGCAAGUAUAGAAUGAGCUGAUGCAAGAUUAGUCUUUUUUUUUUUUUUUUUGUCUUUUUUUUAGGGCUGCAACCAUGGCAUAUGGAAGUCCCAGGCUAGGGGUUGAAUUGGAGCUACAGCUGCCGGCCUAUACCACAGCCACAUGGCAUCCAAGCUGCCUCUGCAACCUACACCACUGCUCACGGCAACCCUGGAUCCUUAACCCACUGAGCAAGAUCGGGGAUCGAACACCCAUCCUCAUGGAUACUAGUUGAGUUUGUUACUGCCGAAGCAUGAUGGGAACUCCCAUGAUAAGUCUUGACUGUAGCAAGUGUCCAGAAAUGGUGCUUGAAAUUAUUGCUCUCACAGGUCUCAUCACCCUACUCACUAGGAUAUAGUAGAGAAAGAAACAGCCAUGGGCCAACUAGUAAACAGGCCAAAAUGCCUGGUACAGGUGCAUCAGGCCAUGCUUGAGAACAUUGAUUUUCAGAUACUGCUUCUAACAGAGCCCUUGUUUUCUCCGAUGUUCCAUGAGACCCGAGUGCCUUCAGAACUCUGGUAGGAUGUAUAUAGACCAUUCUUUUAUAUGCUUUACUCCCACCCUGCCAUUAUUGAAUUUUGUCACUUGUUGCCUAAGAGCUUUCCCCAAAAGCCGGGCCAUUGUUCUCUCUCCUAGUGCAUGUGACCGAGGUGUGAAUGGGUUCCUCUAGGACCGAUAAGAUCCAGGAUCCGUGAUAUAAGUACUGUUUUCCAAGUGAGUGGAUUAGGACAGGACAGGUGGGUGGCACAAGCCAAGGACGUGAUAUGUAUUAGCCUAGUGACAUUACCUAGCCUAGUCAGACUGGUCCUCAGGAAACUGCAUCAGAACUAACUAGGAAGCCUUAACAAUGCAGAUUCCGUGAGCCAUCCUCAGAGACUCUGGAGUAGAACACAGGUUUGAAUAAACACGAGAUGAGUCUGAUGCAUAGGCAGGCUGAAGGAGCCAGGCCAGCCUGAGCAGCAAUAAUUCUGACAUUUCAGUGAACAUUGGAUUCACUUGGUGGGGUGGCACUUGUUAUAAGUGCAGGAGUUCCCGUAAAAAAGGGCCUGAUUGUUAGAAUCAGAUUGGCCUAUGUUUCUUUGCUCCCUGAUUUGUAAAAUCGAGGAAGUGACAUCAAAUCUGAAGGAUCGUUUUAUCUAAAGCUCUCAAAAGGCACUCGGAUGUGGCUUCCCUUUCUUGUGAUUCACAUACCUCUCUUUAUGCUCCAUAAAAGCUGUGAAGAUGAACUGUAGGUGGUGGCUGGGUUCCUUUGAGGGCCAAGGUUGGAUGUUGCCAGAAAGAAGGGAAAAUUGCAAUCCAUGGGCUUCUGAAGUGAAAUUUAUAAGAUUUAUAUAUUUAUGAAUAUACAUUGAUUAAAUACCCCAAAAGCAUGUAU